AAGUCGUAACAAGGUUUCCGUAGGUGAACCUGCGGAAGGAUCAUUAACACGUAUCCAAACGUAAAAAACCCCCCCCGUGAACAUUCAAUCCUGCUCUUGUAACCCGCGUAGUUCGCAAUCUCUGGUAAAUCAUAGCCCGGAAAGUAGUUUUGAUUCAGAGACCUCUGGCUACGUGAGAACAUUGGAACAGUUACAAUCGAGCGGUAGUUUCAUAGGCAUUGUUUCCCCAAGCAGUUAGUGUCUGAAAGUGUCACUGAUUGUGCAAGGAUAGCGCUUCAACGAUUCCUGUAGACCGUACACUCGGGCAGGAGCUAUGCCAAAGGGUCCCCAUGCCCCCUUAUAACCCCACAGUUUAAUGUGAAGCUCAAUGUAAUACAUUGGGUAAAAAAACCGAACAACUGUUAACAAUGGAUAUCUUGGUUCUC
rnacentral:misc_RNA from 1 species